UACGAAGGGGGCUAGCGUUGCUCGGAAUCACUGGGCGUAAAGCGCACGUAGGCGGAUUGUUAAGUCAGGGGUGAAAUCCUGGAGCUCAACUCCAGAACUGCCUUUGAUACUGGAGAGCUCGAGUCCGGGAGAGGUGAGUGGAACUCCGAGUGUAGAGGUGAAAUUCGUAGAUAUUCGGAAGAACACCAGUGGCGAAGGCGGCUCACUGGCCCGGUACUGACGCUGAUGUGCGAAAGCGUGGGGAGCGAACAGG
rnacentral:rRNA from 1 species